ACGUCGAUGGACGGUACGUCCGAGCCGGCCCGCAGCCGGUUGCGCCAGACGGUGGCGUCCACCGGUUCGGGCCGGUCGUCGUG
rnacentral:tRNA from 1 species